rnacentral:rRNA from 1 species
AUUGAACGCUGGCGGCAGGCCUAACACAUGCAAGUCGAGCGAGCGGCGGACGGUUGAGUAAUGUCUGGGAAACUGCCUGAUGGAGGGGGAUAACUACUGGAAACGGUAGCUAAUACCGCAUACCAUCAGAUGUGCCCAGCUGGGAUUAGCUAGUAGGUGGUGUAAAGGCCUACCUAGGCGACGAUCCCUAGCUGGUCUGAGAGGAUGACCAGCCACACUGGAACUGAGCAACGGUCCAGACUCCUACGUGAGGCAGCAGUGGGAAAUCUUGACCAAUGUGCGCAAGCCUGAUGCAGCCAUGCCGCGUGUGUGAAGAAGGCCUUCGGGUUGUAAAGCACUUUCAGCGGGGAGGCGUUACCCGCAGAAGAAGCACCGGCUAACUCCGUGCCAGCCGCCGCGGUAAUUC